UACGGAGGGAGCUAGCGUUAUUCGGAAUUACUGGGCGUAAAGCGCACGUAGGCGGCUUUGUAAGUAAGAGGUGAAAGCCCAGAGCUCAACUCUGGAAUUGCCUUUUAGACUGCAUCGCUUGAAUCAUGGAGAGGUCAGUGGAAUUCCGAGUGUAGAGGUGAAAUUCGUAGAUAUUGGGAAGAACACCGGUGGCGAAGGCGGCUCUCUGGACCACAACUGACGCUGAGGCGCGAAAGCGUGGGGAGCAAACAGG
rnacentral:rRNA from 1 species